UUUUAUUUGAGAGUUUGAUCCUGGCUCAGGAUGAACGCUGGCGGCGUGCCUAACACAUGCAAGUUGAGCGAUUUACUUCGGUAAAGAGCGGCGGACGGGUGAGUAACGCGUGGGUAACCUACCCUGUACACACGGAUAACAUACCGAAAGGUAUGCUAAUACGGGAUAAUAUAUUUGAGAGGCAUCUCUUGAAUAUCAAAGGUGAGCCAGUACAGGAUGGACCCGCGUCUGAUUAGCUAGUUGGUAAGGUAACGGCUUACCAAGGCGACGAUCAGUAGCCGACCUUAGAGGGUGAUCGGCCACAUUGGAACUGAGACA
rnacentral:rRNA from 1 species